GGAGGAAACAUACUCCAAGGAAACUGUGUCUGUAGCAUGAGUCGGUUUGUCCUGUUCUUUUGUGUUCCUUGGACUUGAGCACUGUUUCCCAUCUGGUUUUCUAAUGUCACCAAGUGAAGAAAAGGCCUGUGCACACAGCACACAGCCUGGUCUGGCGCUCACAGCAAUAUGUUUUCUGUGAUUACAGGAGGCCUGGAGAGAGCAGGAGAGUGGUAUGUAUGGGGGAAUCCCUCCCGUGUGAAUGAGGAAUCCAGGUGAUGAGGAAUGUGCCGCCGUCUCGCUGGCUUUCCUGCACACAGGCAGCCGGAGUGGAGCUUCCUGUUGUGACUGAGGACCAGGCUGUGGUGGUGAAGUGGUUGCUCCAGCGUGUUCCAUCCAGGAUGAAGUAGUGGAUCCUGAGGUGCCCAGGAAAUCCCCCGUCAGACACCACCACAGGCAUAAGGAGCGAAUCCUCCAUCACUGGCAUCGCAGCCGUGUACACCCUAGAGUUGCAUCAACGGAAGAUCAGGAUGAGGACCUGGUGCUGGAGCCUUCAUCUGAGGAUGUCCCAGGCAUUUACAUGGUAAGGUCUUCUUUAUGUUUCUAAGAUGGAAAUGUUGUUGCUCUUGGUUCUUUUUUAUUUGAUUUGAAUUGAGAUAUAAAAAUCUUAUCAUGUACAUUAUAGAUGACUUACAGAAUUUUUUGGUGAGAAAACGUGAGGGUUCAUUACCAGGUAAGAAAUGAUCUCAGAUGGCAUUCUUAGAUGACACCUUCGGUUACUAACUGUAUGGCAGAAAGAAUUUUUUUAGGGGAAAAGCUUUCUUCUUAUAACAUUGUGACUAUACAAUCAAAACAGUCUUGGAAGUCUUGCAUAAAAACCGUGUGCCUUUCCAGAAAGGUCUUCCAGGCUUUAUUUUGGGACCGUUGCCUCAACCGCUGCCUCCCACCUGCUUUUUCAACGUCACCAAGUAAAGAAAAGAUCUGUAUGGUGAAACCCCACCUCCACUAAAAAUACAAAAAUUAGCCGGGCGUGCUGACCGGCUA